rnacentral:tRNA from 1 species
ACCUGGCUGGCUCUGUCAGGAGAGCACAAGACUCUUGAUUUCGGGGUUGUGGGUUUGAGCCCCACGCUGGGUG